AGCUUUGCCCUCAUUAGCAGUGGAACCUGGGCAGCAACUUAACCUCUCCAUGCCUCCGUUUCUUCAUCCAUAAAAUAAGAAUAGCACUGGUACCCCUGCGCAGGGCUGCUGCGAGAAUCAAGGUGCCUCGCUGGAACUUAACGUGAGGGGAGCCAGUGUGGUCUGUGGAGGCUCCUUCGAGCAGGUGACAUCUGAGCUGCCCUCUGAAGAUGACAAGGAUCCAGACGUGACGGGGAGAAGGAGACGCUGCAGGCAGAGGACAAAGUCUCCUCUGUCAGUUAAGGACGCAGUACUCCUCCCUUCUGAAGGGCACGGCAACAAGGCGCCACCGUGGAAGCAGGGUCCAGGCCCUCACCUGACAUGAAGCCUGUCAGGGCCUUGAUCUUGGACAUCCCAGCCUCCAGAGCAGGAAUUUGAAGUGCUCUUCAUUCCCUGUCACCAUGAAGCCUCUAGCCUGGCAGUUGGUGGAAGCAGAGAGAAGAAGCAGAGACAUGAAGUGACAUGAAGUGAAGGACCAGGCCAGCUUUCUGGGUUUGAAGCCCGGUCUGUGACUUGCUAGACUCUGUAACUGUGGACAAAGUACUUAAAUUCUCUGGACAUCAUUG
rnacentral:lncRNA from 1 species